CCAUGACUUAAGAUUAGAAUUCAAGGAGACCUAUUGAGAAUAAAUUUCUUGUAGGCUUUGAGCAACAGGAGGAUUAGCACUGCUAUUCCGAUUCAGAGAUAAGGUUAAACGACAGGCUUUGCCUAUACAGGUUGGCUGGCCGGUGCUGACGGGACGGAGCUGAGGCUAGAGAUAAAUUCCUAUGUUAGACUUCCGCUGUAGCAAUUACUCAUAUCAGUCUUUUGUUUUCCCAACUUAAGAUCUUCAUGUUAAAUUUCAAAUGAUAUACCUGACCGAGCUUAGACUCUUCACUACUAAAUUUAUGCCAAUGAAUGUCGGUUGUCAGAAGCAUGAAACAAAACUUGUGAUCCAAAGGGGCAUAGCCCGACUUUCUAUCCUAUUUCGGGUUUUAACAAGGUAUUUCCCUUGUUUAUUUCUAUGAAUUAUUUAUACCUCGAUUA